CUCGCACUGACCCAAGUUUUAACUUCUUCACGCAAGCUCCAGUGGAGAGAAAGAGUAAAUGGGAGAAACCUACUAAGACACCAGUGUAUGUUCACAAGACGCAGGUCUCAGGGGUUUCUAAGGCAGAGUAUGGAGAAAGUACAGAACGUAUUGAUCCCAACAAACACUGCCCCCUGCACAAGAAGCCUCAUCCUCUGAGGAAGUGCAGAGGUUUUCGUGAGAAGAGCAUAAAUGAUCGCAAACAUCUUUUGAAAGAGCAUCAUAUCUGCUUUCGCUGUUGCUCCUCCACAGACCAUCUAGCAAAGGACUGCACUGCUGAAAUAAAAUGUACAGAGUGUGGGAGUGCGGCUCAUGUGACAGCACUUCACCCCUACUCACCUACCUGGAAAUCUAAGUCAUCCCCUUCCACUUCAGAGGAUGGCGGGGAGGAGGACAAAGCAGAAAUCAGAGAAGUUAAGUCGACGUGCACUCAAGUAUGUGGUGAAGGAUUGAGCGCUAGGACAUGUGCUAAGAUCUGCCUUGUUAAUGUGUUCCCCAAUGGCUGCAAGAAUGAGUCUAAGAGAAUGUACGCCAUACUAGACGAACAGAGCAAUCGCUCACUAGCGCGGUCUGAGUUUUUUGAGAUUUUUAAGAUCUCUGGAAAUUCCUACUCGUAUACCCUCAAAACCUGUGCGGGGUGUUCAGAGACGGUGGGAAGGAGAGCCAGUGGUUAUACUGUGGAGUUGGUGGACAAGAAAAUUAGCAUUCAUUUGCCUACACUCCUGGAGUGCAAUCAAAUCCCUAACGUUCGCACUGAGAUUCCUACGCCGGAAGCAGCUUACCAUCAAGCCCACCUGAAGCGCAUCGCUGACAAGAUUCCGCCUUUAGAUCCGGACAGCAAAAUUCUCCUCUUACUGGGCAGAGACAUCUUACAAGUACACAAGGUCCGAGAACAGAUUAGCGGCCCAGGUGAUGCACCAUUUGCGCAAAGGCUUGAUCUAGGAUGGGUCAUCAUUGGUGAUGUGUGCCUUGGAGGUGCUCACAGAACACAAGAGGUGAGAAGCUACAAAACAGCCAUUUUCGAGAACGGCCGUACAAGCUAUCUUCAACCAUGCAACAACCAGAUCAAAGUAAAAGAGAUAUUUGAGCAAGCGUUUAGACCUCAGCAUCAUUCAGCACCAAUCUCCAUCAGUGGUUCCAUGACGCUCGGUGGAGACUGCUUAGGGCAGACCGUCUUCGCUCGUUCUCCCGACGAUCAUAGACUCGCUCCAUCCAUGGAGGAUCUAGAGUUUCUGAAGAUAAUGGAGGCUGAGUGUUUUCAGGACAGUUCCAAAAGUUGGGUCGCACCUUUACCCUUUCGGUUGCCGAGACAGAGGCUGCCUAACAACAGGAAGCAGGUUUUUGACCGUUUUGUCUCGCUCCAGCGCUCAUUGGAAAAACGACCACAGUUGAAAGCCGAUUUCCUAGAGUUUAUGGAGAAGAUGUUCAAGAAGGCACACGCUGAAGUCGCUCCGCCAGUACAGCCUGGACAAGAGUGUUGGUACCUACCCCUGUUUGGUGUGUAUCAUCCAAGGAAACCAGAUAGGAUUCGUGUGGUCUUCGACAGUAGUGCGUCAUGCGAAGGAGUGUCACUCAACGAUGUCUUGCUAACUGGUCCCAACCUUAAUAAUAGCCUGCUUGGUGUCCUUAUGAGGUUCAGGAAGGAACAGGUGGCGAUCACUGCCGACAUCGAGCACAUGUUCCACUGCUUUGUAGUCAAGGAAGACCAUCGUGACUUUCUUCGCUUCCUGUGGUACAGGGACAACGACCCUACCUCCGACAUCAUUGAUUACAGAAUGCGGGUUCACCUUUUUGGGAAUAGUCCCUCGCCUGCCGUAGCAGUGUAUGGUCUGCGACGGGCAGCUAAGAAAGCAGAAGCAGACUAUGGUAGUGAUGCAAGAAGAUUCAUCGACCGCGAGUUCUAUGUUGACGACGCUUUGAAGUCCUUCAGCACAGAAGAAGAGGCCAUCAGCGUCCUAGGGCGAGCUCAGAAGAUGCUUGCAACUUCCAACCUCAGGCUACACAAAAUUGCUUCAAACCGACCGGCAGUUAUCGAAGCGUUUCCAUUUGAAGAUCGCACCAAGGACGUCAACAGCCUAGAUCUCUUUGUUGAUGAUUUGCCAAUACAACGUAGCCUUGGAUUGCUCUGGAACAUGCGCACAGAUACAUUCAUGUUUCGAAUCGAAGAUGACCAGAGGCCAUUCACUCGUAGAGGAGUGCUUUCGACUGUGAACAGCCUCUACGAUCCUCUAGGAUUCCUCGCACCCAUCACGGUUCAUGGAAGACUGAUACUCAGAGAGCUAACUAAGCAAGCAGAGGAUUGGGACACACCUCUUCCCAAAGACAUGGAGACUGAAUGGACUAGAUGGAAACGGUCGCUCCAAGAUCUGCACGGACUCCAGAUACCACGCCCUUAUACGUCAUUCUCCACCGCAGGUGCUCUAAGAAGAGAGCUCUGUGUCUUUGCAGAUGCAUCGGUAAAGGCAAUAGCAGCCGUAGCCUACAUCAAGGUGACAAGCCACCAGGAACAGACUGAGAUUGGCUUUGUCUUCGGGAAAGCAAAGUUGGCGCCUCAGCCCGAUCUAACCAUCCCAAGGCUUGAGCUUUGUGCGGCUGUACUCGCCAUCGAGAUCGCUGAGAUGAUAGUUUCAGAGAUGGACACCAUGUUCGACAACAUCGCCUACUACACAGAUAGCAAGGUUGUAUUGGGAUACAUCCAGAACCAGUCGAGAAGAUUCUAUGUCUACGUACACAACAGGAUCCAAAGAAUCCGUCAAUCACCUU
ensembl:lncRNA